rnacentral:rRNA from 1 species
AGGAGUACGGCGUAAGCGUGUUAAAGCAUCAUACUAAAUAGAGUUAAAUUUUAAUUAAACUGUAAAAAGCCAUAAUUAUAACAAAAAUAAAUGACGAAAGUAACCCUACAAUAGCUGAUACACCAUAGCUAAGACCCAAACUGGGAUUAGAUACCCCACUAUGCUUAGCCCUAAACACAAAUAAUUAUAAGAACAAAAUUAUUCGCCAGAGUACUACCGGCAACAGCCCGAAACUCAAAGGACUUGGCGGUGCUUUAUACCCUUCUAGAGGAGCCUGUUCUAUAAUCGAUAAACCCCGAUAAACCUCACCAAUCCUUGCUAAUACAGUCUAUAUACCGCCAUCUUCAGCAAACCCUAAAAAAGGGACAAAAGUAAGCUCAAUAAUAACACAUAAAGACGUUAGGUCAAGGUGUAACCUAUGGAGUGGGAAGAAAUGGGCUACAUUUUCUACCCAAGAAAAUUUAAUACGAAAGCCAUUAUGAAAUUAAUAGCCAAAGGAGGAUUUAGCAGUAAACUAAGAAUAGAGUGCUUAGUUGAAUCAGGCCAUGAAGCACGCACACACCGCCCGUCACCCUCCUCAAGUAAAUAUGAUAUACUCAAACCUAUUUACAUAUAUCAACCACACGAGAGGAGACAA